GACGAACGCUGGCGGCGUGCCUAAUACAUGCAAGUCGAACGAGAGCGACCGGUGCUUGCACUGGUCAAUCUAGUGGCGAACGGGUGAGUAACACGUGGGUAACCUGCCCAUCAGAGGGGGAUAACAUUCGGAAACGGAUGCUAAAACCGCAUAGGUCUUCGAACCGCAUGGUUUGAAGAGGAAAAGAGGCGCAAGCUUCUGCUGAUGGAUAGACCCGCGGUGCAUUAGCUAGUUGGUGAGGUAACGGCUCACCAAGGCCGUGAUGCAUAGCCGACCUGAGAGGGUGAUCGGCCACAUUGGGACUGAGACACGGCCCAAACUCCUACGGGAGGCAGCAGUAGGGAAUCUUCCGCAAUGGACGCAAGUCUGACGGAGCAACGCCGCGUGAGUGAAGAAGGUUUUCGGAUCGUAAAACUCUGUUGUUAGAGAAGAAUAAGUGCUAGAGUAACUGUUAGCGCCUUGACGGUAUCUAACCAGAAAGCCACGGCUAACUACGUG
rnacentral:rRNA from 1 species